UACGUAGGUGGCAAGCGUUGUUCGGAAUUACUGGGCGUAAAGGGCGCGCAGGCGGCUGCUCAAGUCAGGCGUGAAAGGCCUGGGCUCAACCCGGGAAUUGCGCUUGAGACUGGGCUGGCUUGAGUGCGGGAGAGGAUGGUGGAAUUCCUAGUGUAGAGGUGAAAUUCGUAGAUAUUGGGAAGAACACCGGUGGCGAAGGCGGCCAUCUGGACCGCAACUGACGCUGAGGCGCGAAAGCGUGGGGAGCAAACAGG
rnacentral:rRNA from 1 species